GAUUCCUGCAAAGAUAUUAACGAUCCUCUUAAAAUGUUGAAGAUUAGUAAUAUCUGUGACUAUCAUCUCAGUUUACAGUUUCCUUUCAGAUGAAAUAAUACAGUUGGUAAGUCCUUUAGACUGACUAGUGACGUCCCCCAAGGAAUGACGGAACUCACUCUUCGUAGCUGGCUAACAGAAUUCCAGGUUGACUUUUAAUGUGGGUGGAACACAACAUACAGUACUGACACUAGAACUGAAUAUCUCAACCCAAAUGCAACCAGAACUGUCAUCAAAUAUUUGCGCAAGGGGUAAUUGCUCUUGGACUUAAUUGUGGACCCCUCCCCUGCGAUAUGUGUCAUAGUUAGCGUCGUUUGAAGACAGUUUGUACAUGACUUCAAGUGAUGACAUUACUGUUGAAAGUAUAUAAUCACCACAUCAGUUUGAUGCCAAGGCUGUCUCAUUUGUCACUUUGUAAAAUGAUUUCUAAUACAUGUCACCAUGUCCAGCUAUACUCUAUCUGACGUCUAAGCAUCUUUAGAAUAGCUCUGCAUCAUAUUUUUCAUUGUCAAAGGUUCCACCGUAUAGCUGUCGUGUUCAAAACACACCGAUCCUCCCUGCACCUUUCCAUAAUCUAUGUAGUCCAUAAAGAUGACGGUUUCUCAAAACCCAUUUUAUCUGUCUGAUUGUAUAGAAAUCCCCAGGCAUUGCAUCCAGGGACUUAACCGGCUGGUUAAACAAGGAUUCCAAAGGUUGGUUGACAAACAGCGGUCAUCAUUCGGAUCAGAAGGUGGAAAUUCCUUCAAUCCUUAUCCUGGAUCAUCUACCAGAGUUCCUCUUUCUGCAAGCUUUUUGCUGGAACUCCUCUAUUCUUUGUAUUUCUGCAUGUCACUAAUGCUAUUAAGAAUUCCUUGAAAGUCAAUCCUUCUGGUCAACCUAAAAAUGACUCCAUAGAAAUUAAUGAUGCUUUGUCCCUCUCUCUAAAUCAGUCUACAUGAUCAAAAAGUGCUGUGAGAAGUGCCUCAUUGUGAACAAAACAUUUGGCUGGAAGUUACUCAACAUAUUAAUUGUGUUACUGAAGAUUGGAGAAAAACCAGACAACUAGUGUCAGUUAUGCUGAAAAAAAAAUUAUCAACAGGAGAAAAAUAAGUUACCUGUUUUAGCAUUGUUGAAAAACAAAGCUAAAAAAAAAAGAAAGUAUAAGGUGGAAGUUGUUAGUGAACUUAAUAAAACAACAACCGUGAAAAAGGAACUAAACAAAGAAAUACCAGAAGACAAGUCCCACAUCAGACACAUAUAUACAAGAAGAUAAGUCAGUCCUGUAAAUAAAAAUUUAUGGUACAUUCAGAUUUUCUACUAUUACAAGUGUUGUCUACCACGAGUGUUAAAUAAUUGCAUAUACUAGUACUGAAUAAUUGUAAAGAGGUCCAUGCAGAAUAUUCCUCAGAAAACUUUUAAAAUAUUAGAUGCUACUUGGUGCAUUCUGUCAGGUUUUAGCUACCUAAGUGCACAGUUCAUAGCUACCAUAAAACUGACAAAAUUAAUAAUUAACAGACAAUAAUUUUCUUUCCACUUUUUUUACCAGUUCAUUCAACAAAGAAGUGUGGGAGCUAAUUUAAUGUACAAUUGAAAAUUUGAAAAUAAAAAUUAAAAGCGCACAUACAGGUUUAUUAAAAAGCACAACUCAGAUGUGUUACUUUAUUUUCAUCUUUUUUUUUAAAUGAUCAUGGGCCCCCAUUUUCAGCAGCUGAUCUUUUCAGCAAAGGGUCCAAAGUGGAAACAUUGCUUUACAUGCUUCAAACACCUUUCCUCUUACCAAAAACAUCUUGGGCUGUUUUAAUAGUCCCAUUUCCAAUAGGGCUUAUGCUUUUUGUUGUCCUGCAUGUGACAAUCUUGGUGACUUUGGUUAUCUUAAUAGUCUCAUUACCAAUAGGGCUUAUGCUUUCUGUUGUCCUGCAUGUAACAAUCUUGGUGACUUUGGCUGUUUUAAUAGUUUCAUUUUUAGCAGGCUUGUGUUUAUCAUUGUACCACAUGUGAAAACCUUGGCAGUUUUAACAGUUUCUUUGCCAGUAAGGUUUAUUUUUCAUAUGACAGUCUUGUGGACUUUGGUUAUUUUAAUAGUCUUGUUGUCAGUAAGGUUUGUACUUUUUGUUGUCCUGCAGGUGAGAAUCAUGAGGACUUUGGUUAUUUUAAUGGUCUUGUUGUCAGUAAGGUUUGUACUUUUUGUUGUCCUGCAUGUGAGAAUCAUAAGGACUUUGGUUAUUUUAAUAGUCUUGUUGUCAGUAAGGUUUAUACUUUUUGUUGUCCUGCAUGUGAGAAUCAUGGUGACUUUGCUGUUUCAAUAAUCUCAUUGCCAUUAGAGACUGUGCUUUUUUGUAUGUGGUAAUCUCAGUAGUUUUCUUGCUAUUUCUAACUUUGAGAUGUAGCUUUUUUCUGUUUUUGUUGCUGAAGAUUUUUAACCACUUUUGCCAUUGCAAUUUCUCUCUUUCCUUGGGCUGUCAAUGUCUUUUCCUGAAGGCGAUUCCAGUACCUUACAUAUUCUGUAUAGCAGGUUUUCUCAUCCUUGCUGAAACCUUCAUGCUUUUUAUACCUUUUACUGGGAGGGUAAAUUUCACCACUGCUAGUGUCACAUGAUUCUCGACCAGUAAGCGAGGUAUGGUCUUUCUCAGUAAUGUCAUCUACCAUGUUGAAUAAGUCUUCAACAGUGGGACCUGAAAAUGUGCUUAACAAAGCUGACACAAGUGCAGAUGAUAAUGCAGUACUUACUAGUUGCAACUAACAGUAAGUGCAUCAGUCUAUAUUGUCAACAUCAUGUUUCUCUAAUGCCGCACUUAGAAAUUCAGUUGAUGACAAUGUGACUUGCUUAUUGUAUGCACUCUAAAUAUUAACUAAUAACAGUCAGUAGUGAGGUUUCUGCAGCUGCAGUCAUACAUAGUGAGCCACAACUAGUAUUAUUGCAAGCAAUACACACAGUCGAGGUAUUUUUUGUGAAGGGUAUUCAAAGUAUCAUGUGCACAGUACAAAGAACUACUAUGUGCAACUGAUAUGUCACCAAUAGCAUCGACCAGCAAACUAAUCAAAUGGGCUAAUUAAAUGUCUAUUUACCCUGUACUAUUUUGUAUCUCAUUGCAUAGUUAGUGUUGAUAAUAUUCAAAAAUAAAUAUGAAGAACAGAACCACACGUAUUAAACCUAAUGGAUAAACAACCAGAACAAUCUUUUUAACUUGUCCAGUAACAAUUUAGAAAAUGUUUCCAAAAUUUAGAAUUAUUCAUACAAAAAAAAAACUAGGCAAGAUUCAACUAAGAUCCAAUGUGUGGCUAAGAGUACUAACUGAAUGUUUAAUGCUGAUAGUUUUACAUGCAUUUGACAACUUAUGUUGUUGUGCAAUGAGAAGUAGAAAUUAUUGGUUAUUAUCGAGGGUUUUUUACAACAAGAUAACUUAAUACAAGACAAGGUUUGAACUUUAAUGUGAGCAGUAUUAGGUAAAUACUGUGAUAUAGGUUUAUUAUUUCUAUAUUUUACAUAAGGAACUUGUGGCCUAAUGAACUCUCUUAUGGCUGAUAUUGGCUUACACACACUACAUGUUAACUACUAAAUACGAUUAUAUAAGUAUUUUUUAGUAUCUGUUAAGUUUGAUUAGAAACACCAAACAGUAAAUGAUAAAACAUAUUCAGCACAUCAAAAAUAUGCUAAAAUUUUAUAUAAAUGGUUGUCUCAUUAUGUUAGCUAAGUAACUUGUGUAAACUAUGGUGGUUUACAUCUUUGUACUUUGUAUUGAUUUAAUAAAUUUUUUUUAUCAGAAUUGCCUUUUUUCCCUUUGUGUUAAAUAACCAGUGACAGUCUUCUAAUGAGACAAACUAUAAAUAAUUUUUGUAAUAACUUCCAACAACUAUAAGUGUACAUGUUAUCCUAGAGAUUUUUCAUUUCUUGCUUGUAUCAAGAGACAACUUCUGUGACAUUACAUUUUAUUGAAACACACACACGCAUCUGUAUUUUUUUAAAACUCCUUACAAACAGCAAAUUUAACAAUUUUUAACAGAUUGUAAGAAGAACAAACACUAAGAAUAGAGCAUUUUUGGCAAAGGACAUAAAACAAUAUGUUGUAAAAGAGAGUUUUGACAUCACUGAUAUCAGUCUGUUUAAAAAAAUCCCGUGAAGUACUAAUGUUAUCUAGAAGUGUUAGCCACAAAGAUAUUAGAUAAUUAUCAAUGACUUGCAAACAUCUAUGACAAA